UUAUUUUAAUAAAGAGUUGGGCCUGCUCGGUGAUUAAUAUUUAACAGCUGCGGUAUUAUAACUGUACUAAGGUAGCAUAAUAAUUUGCCUUAUAAAUUGAGGCUAGAAUGAAUGGUUUGACGAAAAUUAUACUGUCUCUGUCUUAUUUAUUAGAAGUUAAUUUUUAUAGUGAGAAAGCUUGGAUAAUUUAAAGGGACGAAAAGACCCUAUUGAGCUUUAUAUUAUACUUUAAAAUUAUUUAUUGUUUUUAUUUAAAUAUAAUUUUGGUUGGGGUGAUCAAGGAAUAAAUAAUUAAUUUUAACUUCCUUAAUUUGUUUAUAGUUAUAUGAAUAAACCAAGUUUUUUGCUUAGAAGAUAAGUUACCAUAGGGAUAACAGCGUAAUUUUUUUUGAAAGUUCAUAUUGAAAAAAGAGAUUGCGACCUCGAUGUUGGAUUAAAAUAACCUUAAGGUGAAGAGGCUUUAAUUGGUGAAUCUGUUCGAUUUUUAAAAUUUU
rnacentral:rRNA from 1 species